rnacentral:snRNA from 1 species
UUGCUUUGGCAGCAGGUAUGCUAAAAUGAUAACAGAGAAGAUUAGCGCUGCCCCUGUGCAAGGAUGAUGGGAAAAUUUGUAAAGCAUUUCAUAGUUUU